GUGUGUGCACUUUAGCCACAGCAAGAGCAAGAUCAGAGAGAAAUAAGGACUUAUGACCAUUAGACCAGGAGACAGGAAGCAAUGGUUCUGGAAGGGGCUCUGUUACUAACUUUGGAGUUCAACUGUCCAGAUAGAAAGGUGGACAUGGAAAAAUUGGGCUUUGCAAACAGUCACCCAAUUCUUGCCUUCCUGGUCCCUGGAUCACCCUUCCUAUACCACCACUCUGGAGAAAGAAGUACAGGACACUAACAAGGAUGGCUUGGAGUUGCAGUGGUCACCUCAGAUCUUAAGGUCACUUUGGAGAUGGAACCCAUGUGACUAGGAAUGGCAGAACAGAAAGGUGGAAAGAGCUUGAGUCCUGGGGAUGUGGCAUAGCCACCAUCCUAGUCCCUUACUGCCUACCUCUAGACUUCCUUUAAGUUGAGAGAAACAUGUUCCUACCUUAUUUAAGCCAUUUGUUAUUCUAAACCCCAUUCCUAGUCCUGGAAUGCCCUGGCAGAGCUGGUGCUGGCUGGGACCCCAGUAGUCCGUGGUGACCUUGCUCAGCAGUGCUCUUUCCACAAAUGAUCCCACUACUAUCGUGUGUGGAACUAUCUUGGUGUGGUGUGUGCAUGAGCAGACAUCCACAGCCAAGUAAUUUUCAAAGCUGUCAGCUCUGCUCUCCUGCAGCCUCCUGCUCCCCCACUGCCUUCUCAUUUCCACCAGAGGAAAGUGAGGCUGUUGGUGAGGAGGUUUUUCUUUUCCUUUUCUCCUUUUCUGAAUUGCUUACCAUAUUAAACUCUCAAUAUCCACUGCCCAGAAUAUUAUUAUGCUAAUAUUUCUCUGAUUUAUUUAUAUUUUUAUUUGUAAUUAAAGAAAUAAAACACUAUAGGUACAAUCGCAUCCUUUUUAUCCUCUCUGUGAGCCUAUUCUACUCCUUCUUCCAAAAAAGCAUUCUCUUGAACUUGCAUGCAUUCUGUGUUUUUAUGCUUUUAUUAUGCAUAUGUCUGAAUCCAUAUUUGAUUGAUAACAUUGUUUUAUAUGUUUUAAAUAUGUGUGUAAAUGGUAUAUUAAUGUGGUUUGAUAUUUUACACAGACCUUGGAUUUUUUCAAGAUC